rnacentral:rRNA from 1 species
UCCAGACUCCUACGGGAGGCAGCAGUGAGGAAUAUUGGUCAAUGGGCUUACGCCUGAACCAGCCAAGUCGCGUGAGGGAAGACUGCCCUAUGGGUUGUAAACCUCUUUUGUCAGGGAGCAAUUGGCGCUACGUGUAGCGUUAUCGAGAGUACCUGAAGAAAAAGCAUCGGCUAACUCCGUGCCAGCAGCCGCGGUAAUACGUAGGGGGCAAGCGUUAUCCGGAUUUACUGGGUGUAAAGGGAGCGUAGGCGGCCAUGCAAGUCAGAAGUGAAAACCCGGGGCUCAACCCUGGGAGUGCUUUUGAAACUGUGCGGCUAGAGUGUCGGAGGGGCAAGUGGAAUUCCUAGUGUAGCGGUGAAAUGCGUAGAUAUUAGGAGGAACACCAGUGGCGAAGGCGGCUUACUGGACGAUGACUGACGCUGAGGCUCGAAAGCGUGGGGAGCAAACAGGAUUAGAUACCCCCGUAACU